UACGAAGGGGGCUAGCGUUGCUCGGAAUCACUGGGCGUAAAGCGCACGUAGGCGGAUCUUUAAGUCAGGGGUGAAAUCCUGGAGCUCAACUCCAGAACUGCCUUUGAUACUGGGGAUCUCGAGUCCGGAAGAGGUGAGUGGGAACUCCGAGUGUAGAGGUGAAAUUCGUAGAUAUUCGGAAGAACACCAGUGGCGAAGGCGGCUCACUGGUCCGGUACUGGACGCUGAGGUGCGAAAGCGUGGGGAGCAAACAGGG
rnacentral:rRNA from 1 species